UACGAAAGGUGCGAGCGUUAAUCGGAAUUACUGGGCGUAAAGCGUGCGUAGGCGGCUAUUUAAGUCGGAUGUGAAAGCCCCGGGCUCAACCUGGGAGGUGCAUCCGAUACUGGGUAGCUAGAGUGUAGUAGAGGGAGGUGGAAUUUCCGGUGUAGCGGUGAAAUGCGUAGAUAUCUGGAGGAACAUCAGUGGCGAAGGCGGCACCCUGGACUCAUACUGACACUGAGGUGCGAAAGCGUGGGGAGCAAACAGG
rnacentral:rRNA from 1 species